UACGUAGGGGGCAAGCGUUAUCCGGAUUUACUGGGUGUAAAGGGAGCGUAGACGGUAAUGUAAGUCUGGAGUGAAAGGCGGGGGCCCAACCCCCGGACUGCUCUGGAAACUAUGUUACUAGAGUGCAGGAGAGGUAAGCGGAAUUCCUAGUGUAGCGGUGAAAUGCGUAGAUAUUAGGAGGAACACCAGUGGCGAAGGCGGCUUACUGGACUGUAACUGACGUUGAGGCUCGAAAGCGUGGGGAGCAAACAGG
rnacentral:rRNA from 1 species